ensembl:lncRNA
CCUGAGAGCUGAACGAGGAAGGACAGACAAUUAAUUCAGCGUCUCGCCAGGCAACUGCCUUCUUUCUCUAACAGGAGAUGUUGGUUGUACGUGUUGCAAGCAUUGUACUCUGGAGAAAGUGCCUUAUAAGCGAUUAAACACUGUUGUUGGGAACACUGUUUAAAAUGCUGCUCACACUUAAAGCCAGACCAGCAACCGGGACAGCAAUAUGUUACGAGUGUUUAGAGACUACAGCCAAACGUGAUGAACAAAACGGAGCGAUUUCUCCUACACAAAUAAUAUUUUGGGAGAAACUGAACAUUUGCUAUCUAACUGAGAGUCUCCUCAUUGAAAACAUCCGAAGUUCUUCAAAGGCCCUUAUGUCAGGCAUCAGACACAGAGGAUGUCUGGUCCUGCUCCUGAAAUCUGCUCCUGCAUUCAUCCCA